rnacentral:tRNA from 1 species
ACCGAUGUCGUCUAGAGGUUUUAGGAUGUCGCGUUUUCAAAUUUGGGAAAUUGAAAGCCCGCGAAGACCAGGGUUCGAACCCCUGCAUCGGUG